AAUUUUGGACAAUGGGGGAAACCCUGAUCCAGCCAUCCCGCGUGUGCGAGGAAGGCCUUCGGGUUNUAAAGCACUUUUGUCAGGGANGAAAAGGUUCUGGCUAAUACCCGGAACUGAUGACGGUACCUGAAGAAUAAGCACCGGCUAACUACGUGCCAGCAGCCGCGGUAAUAAGUAGGGUGCAAGCGUUAAUCGGAAUUACUGGGCGGAAGGAGUGCGCAGGCGGUGCGGAAAGAAGGAUGUGAAAUACAUGGUCUCAACCAUGGAGCUACAUUCUUAAAUACCGAACUAGAGUAUGUCAGAAGGGGGUAGAAUUACGCGUGUAGCAGUGGAAUAAGUAGAUAUGCGGAGGAAUAACGAUGGCGAAGGCAGCCCCCUGGGAUAAUACUGACGCUCAUGCACGAAAGAGUGGGUAGCAAACAGG
rnacentral:rRNA from 1 species